AUUAAGGUAGCAAAGCCAGGCCGUGCGAAAGGCUUAAAACCUCUACACAGAUGUUCAAAUCAUCUCCUUAAUA
rnacentral:tRNA from 2 species